GUGUGUAUGGAUCGAACAGAACCAGGAGGGGGCGACCAGGGGUUUCUCCACAAACCCUAAUUCUCACAAAAUCCUCCAAAUUGAAGCUCAAAUCAAGCCCGAAUCGUCUGCAUGAUUACAAAUUCGUGAUCUCCAUUGAAAGGGGAGUCAUAAGUUUGACUCUUGACGAGCUAGGUGAAGCUUGGAGGAGAAGAUCAAACGGGAUAAAGGCACGAGUAAGACUUGCUUGGAUGAAAGGUAAGUAAAACUUACACCCACUUGUAGUAUAUGUGUUUAUUUCAUAACGAUGAAUACAAUAAAGGAUUUGGUUUGAAUCAUGGGUUCCGACCCAAAACGAAAUGAGUCAGAACCAACAAAAAUGUUUUAAACCAUGAUUAAUGGUGAAAAAGGCAAAAUGGUAAAUUAGUCACGAAUUGGUUAAGAAUUAGUGAGUUUUUCUUAAAGUUACCUUAUAGCGUAACUAGUAAUGAAAAUGUUGGGUUAUAUAGGUCGAACGGGUCAAAUGGUGGGAACAACGCCAUUUGACAAUAUCAACUAAUGUGGUUGUCAAGUCAUGUGUUUUCAGGGGCGAAUAGUAAUUUGGGUAAUUGCGUCGCCAUAAGAAUAUCGAUAAUGAAAGCAAGGAGUCGAAACGGGUCAUUAGGUUGACUCGAGCCAGAACACUCGCGUUUGAAGACGACGAGAGUCAAACAAAUUGUGGAUAUGAUGAUGGGACGGUCUGAAGUAUGACAAGAGGAGCAUGCUCACCGAGGACUAAAUCGCGUAACGACCGCGAACAAGGUUAAUGGCAAGGAACGCCCGUCGGGGCAAACAUUACCAGAACCAGGAGGGGGCGACCACGGGUUUCUCCACAAACCCUAAUUCUCACAAAAUCCUCCAAAUUGAAGCUCAAAUCAAGCCCGAAUCGUCUGCAUGAUUACAAAUUCGUGAUCUCCAUUGAAAUGGGAGUCAUAAGUUUGACUCUUGACGAGCUAGGUGAAGCUUGGAGGAGAAGAUCAAACGGGAUAAAGGCACGAGUAAGACUUGCUUGGAUGAAAGGUAAGUAAAACUUACACCCACUUGUAGUAUAUGUGUUUAUUUCAUAACGAUGAAUACAAUAAAGGAUUUGGUUUGAAUCAUGGGUUCCGACCCAAAACGAAAUGAGUCAGAACCAACAAAAAUGUUUUAAACCAUGAUUAAUGGUGAAAAAGGCAAAAUGGUAAAUUAGUCACGAAUUGGUUAAGAAUUAGUGAGUUUUUCUUAAAGUUACCUUAUAGCGUAACUAGUAAUGAAAAUGUUGGGUUAUAUAGGUCGAACGGGUCAAAUGGUGGGAACAACGCCAUUUGACAAUAUCAACUAAUGUGGUUGUCAAGUCAUGUGUUUUCAGGGGCGAAUAGUAAUUUGGGUAAUUGCGUCGCCAUAAGAAUAUCGAUAAUGAAAGCAAGGAGUCGAAACGGGUCAUUAGGUUGACUCGAGCCAGGUGAAUGUCGAGAGUCCCGGAUGAAGAUCAAGCAUCGAACAAGAACCGAACACACGUUAAACAAAGCUUCCGCAACGUUGUUUUGUCGUUAUUCUAAACGGCGAAUUAAAUCACAUUAUGUAUAUCACUUAAAUUGUAAAAGUUUUUAACAACCGGUAUUUCUAAUGUAUAUGCAAUU
rnacentral:lncRNA from 1 species